GAUGAAGAACGCAGCGAAAUGCGAUACGUAAUGUGAAUUGCAGAAUUCAGUGAAUCAUCGAAUCUUUGAACGCAUAUUGCGCUCUCUGGUAUUCCGGAGAGCAUGCUUGUUUGAGUAUCAGUAAACACCUCAACUCCCUUUCUUCUUGAAAUGGAGCUGGACUUGAGUGAUCCCAACGCUUUAUUCAUAAAGUGGCGGGUUACUUGAAAUGCAGGUGCAGCUGGACUUUUCUCUGAGCUAUAAGCAUAUCUAUUUAGUCUGCCUCAAAACAGAUUAUUACCUUUGCUGCAGCUAACAUAAAGGAGAUUAGUUCUUGUGCUGACUGAUGCAGGAUUCACAAAGACCGCUUCGGCUGUCUUUGUAAACUCGAUCUCAAAUCAAGUAAGACUACCCGCUGAACUUAAGCAUAUCAAUAAGCGGAGG
rnacentral:misc_RNA from 1 species